rnacentral:rRNA from 1 species
AGUGAACGCUGGCGGUAGGCCUAACACAUGCAAGUCGAACGGCAGCAGAGUAAGAGCUUGCUCUUACGGGUGGCGAGUGGCGGACGGGUGCGGAAUACAUCGGAAUCUACUUUUUAGUGGGGGAUAACGUAGGGAAACUUACGCUAAUACCGCAUACGACCUACGGGUGAAAGCAGGGGCUCUUCGGACCUUGCGCGAUUAAAUGAGCCGAUGUCGGAUUAGCUAGUUGGCGGGGUAAAGGCCCACCAAGGCGACGAUCCGUAGCUGGUCUGAGAGGAUGAUCAGCCACACUGGAACUGGGACACGGUCCAGACUCCGACGGAGGGCAGCAGUGGAGAAUAAUGGACAAUGGGCGCAAGCCUGAUCCAGCCAUACCGCGUGGGUGAAGAAGGCCUUCGGGUUGUAAAGCCCUUUUGUUGGGAAAGAAAAGCAGCAGGUUAAUACCCCGCUGUUCUGACGGUACCCAAAGAAUAAGCACCGGCUAACUUCGUG